rnacentral:rRNA from 1 species
UACGGGGGGGGCAAGCGUUGUUCGGAAUUACUGGGCGUAAAGGGCUCGUAGGCGGCCAACUAAGUCAGACGUGAAAUCCCUCGGCUUAACCGGGGAACUGCCUGUCAGACUGGAAGGCUUGAGACCGGGAGAGGUGAGUGGAAUUCCCAGUGUAGCGGUGAAAUGCGUAGAUAUUGGGAGGAACACCAGUGGCGAAGGCGGCUCACUGGACCGGAACUGACGCUGAGGCGCGAAAGCGUGGGGAGCAAACAGG